rnacentral:lncRNA from 1 species
CCCUUCCCUCUCCCCUCCCUCUCCUCUCUGAAUAAGCAAGCUUUUGCCUCUAAAAGUCACAAGUAAUCCUUGUGUGUGACAGAGGAGAGAGAGGAGAGAGGGAGAGGCGAGCUUUCGGAGAGGAGCAGCAGGCAGGAGGAGGAUCUGGCAUAGCGGCUGGGAGAGGAAACUUGACGCUUCGGGGCCAGCAUUUGCCAGGGCCUUACUCGAGACGCCGAAAGGAGCCUGUUUGCGUACUGCGGCUGCCCUGUGAUUCUGGAUCUUGUCUCCUGGCCGGCGCCUCGAUUCCUACCCAGCUGGAUUGGGGGGCAACACUGCCUGGCGCAGCCAAGAGAGCGAAUGAGACCACAAAGAAGCAUAAAAUGAAUAGACAAUCCAACCAACCAAAGACCCGGGGCAGCAGCACGCCAGCAAGACGGCAUCUUCUCCUCCCCAGCCUAGAAGCCCUGUGAAAUCGAGGAUCUUCCCCCUAAAACACACACGCACAAGAUAUGUGCAAUCAAGCUGCCACCGCUUGGUAAAAAACCUCAUGGUGCCUACCCCAAAGGAUCCGGAGCAGAUCCUUGAAUCAGCUGUCACUUCUUCUAUAGAAUGGGAUUUUUUUUUUCCUUCCUCCUUAACCUGCACUGGAAAUUGCCUUUGGCUUUACACGUCUCUAUAGAGGGAGGCUAAAGAGUCUUGCGUGAGAAUGAAGCAAUUUACAAUGCAAAU